CCUACGGGAGGCUGCAGUGAGGAAUAUUGGUCAAUGGUCGGGAGACUGAACCAGCCAAGCCGCGUGAGGGAUGAAGGUACAGAGUAUCGUAAACCUCUUUUGUCAGGGAACAAAGGCGGGGACGUGUCCCCGGAUGAGUGUACCUGAAGAAAAAGCAUCGGCUAACUCCGUGCCAGCAGCCGCGGUAAUACGGAGGAUGCGGGCGUUAUCCGGAUUUAUGGGGGUUAAAGGGUGCGAAGGCGGUCUGUUAAGUCCGCGGUCAAAGCCCGGGGCUCAACCCCGGCCCGCCGUUGAAACUGGCAGUCUCGAGUUGGAGAGAAGUAUGCGGAAUGCGCGGUGUAGCGGUGAAAUGCAUAGAUAUCGCGCAGAACUCCGAUUGCGAAGGCAGCAUGCCGGCUCCACACUGACGCUGAGGCACGAAAGCGUGGGUAUCGAACAGGAUUAGAUACCCCAGUAGUC
rnacentral:rRNA from 1 species